rnacentral:rRNA from 1 species
AAAUUGAAGAGUUUGAUCAUGGCUCAGAUUGAACGCUGGCGGCAGGCCUAACACAUGCAAGUCGAACGGUAACAGGAAACAGCUUGCUGUUUCGCUGACGAGUGGCGGACGGGUGAGUAAUGUCUGGGAAACUGCCUGAUGGAGGGGGAUAACUACUGGAAACGGUAGCUAAUACCGCAUAACGUCGCAAGACCAAAGAGGGGGACCUUCGGGCCUCUUGCCAUCGGAUGUGCCCAGAUGGGAUUAGCUUGUUGGUGGGGUAACGGCUCACCAAGGCGACGAUCCCUAGCUGGUCUGAGAGGAUGACCAGCCACACUGGAACUGAGACACGGUCCAGACUCCUACGGGAGGCAGCAGUGGGGAAUAUUGCACAAUGGGCGCAAGCCUGAUGCAGCCAUGCCGCGUGUAUGAAGAAGGCCUUCGGGUUGUAAAGUACUUUCAGCGGGGAGGAAGGGAGUAAAGUUAAUACCUUUGCUCAUUGACGUUACCCGCAGAAGAAGCACCGGCUAACUCCGUGC